GCGGUCGCGCGCGGUUGACAUUUGAGUUACCUUCCAGGAUGUCCAACGCCUCCUUUUUCAACUCCGGGACGGCGGACGAGGAACUCGUCAUCAAUUCCACUUUCGGGACUCUCCUGUCCGUCGUGUACGUCAUCGGCGUGUCCGGGAACGUGUACACGCUGGUGGUGAUGCGUCACUCCAUGCGCUUCGCCACGUCCAUGUACAUCUCCAUCGUCAACCUGGCGCUGGCGGACCUCCUCUACCUGUCCACCAUCCCCUUCGUGGUGGCCACCUACUUCCUCAAGGACUGGCACUUCGGCGACGUGGGCUGCCGCGUGCUGCUCAGCCUGGACCUCCUGACCAUGCACGCCAGCAUCUUCACGCUCACCGUCAUGUGCUCCGAGCGCUACCUGGCCGUCACCAAGCCGCUGGACACGGCGCGCCGCUCCAAGAGUUACCGCAAGGCUCUGGCGUGGGGCGUGUGGCUCCUCUCGCUGCUGCUCACCGUGCCCAUGAUGGUGAUGGUGGCCCAGACCACCGCCACGUCCCCGGACGGAGGCGUGAAGAGGAUGUGCGCUCCCGUCUGGGCGCCCGUGGCUUACAAAGUCUACGUGACGGUCCUGUUCGGCACCAGCAUCAUGGCGCCGGGGCUGGUCAUCGGCUACUUGUACGUCAAGUUGGCGCGCACCUACUUGGAGUCGCAGCGCAACUCUGCCGUCAGCAAAGGCGGGAAGCGCUCGCCCAAACAAAAAGUUCUCAUCAUGAUCUUCACCAUCGUGCUGGUGUUCUGGGCUUGCUUCCUGCCCUUCUGGAUCUGGCAGCUGCUGCCUUUGUACCGCAGCAAGCCGCUGAGCUUGGCCUCGCAGACGCACACCUGUAUCAACUACCUGGUGGCGAGUCUCACCUACAGCAACAGCUGCAUUAACCCCUUCCUCUACACGCUCCUCACCAAGAACUACCGGGAGUAUCUGAAGAACCGCCACCGGAGCUUUUACCGCUACACGUCGUCGUUCAAGCAGCGGCCGCCCAGCUUGUACUCCUGGGGGAAGUCGGCCUCCUCCAGCAACCAGUUCGAGUUCAACUCGGAGACGCUCGUCAUGGGGACCUUCAAGUGACUUUUUGGAUACUCAAAGCGCUCACAGAGAAGUGGGAACCCAUCUUUCAUUCACACCUGAUGGUGUGUGAGCGGCACCGGGGGCAAGGGUGAAGUGUCCUGCCCAAGGACACAACGGCAGUGAUUCGGAUGUCAAGAGGCGCGGAGCGAACCUGCAACCCUCAGGGUUUCAGUGAGCCGGAGGACCGUACUUCACCCACCCAUCCCCCCUUUCCUUCCCCUCCACUCCCUUCCCUACCGAUGGGUGCUUUAAGGCAGCGCUGGGUCGGCGAUGGCUUGUGUCGGG